rnacentral:rRNA from 1 species
UACAGAGGGGGGCAAGCGUUGCUCGGAAUCACUGGGCGUAAAGGGUGCGUAGGCGGGUCUUUUAAGUCAGGGGUGAAAUCCUGGAGCUCAACUCCAGAACUGCCUUUGAUACUGAGGAUCUUGAGUUCGGGAGAGGUGAGUGGAACUGCGAGUGUAGAGGUGAAAUUCGUAGAUAUUCGCAAGAACACCAGUGGCGAAGGCGGCUCACUGGCC